CUCAUUUUUCGGUCUUCUGGCUAAGCUCAAGUAUAAUAUUUGUUUUACCAGUUUAAUAUCUAGUAUAUGAACAAUAUGUUCACUUUGAUAUUAAAUUCAUUUAUUAUAGGAAUUUUUAUGUGGAGGAUCCAUUAAGACUCUCAAGUAUCUCUUAGUCACCCAAU
rnacentral:snRNA from 1 species